GACGAACGCUGGCGGCGCGCCUAACACAUGCAAGUCGAACGAGCGAGAGAGAGCUUGCUUUCUCGAGCGAGUGGCGAACGGGUGAGUAACGCGUGAGGAACCUGCCUCAAAGAGGGGGACAACAGUUUGAAACGACUGCUAAUACCGCAUAAGCCCACGGCUCGGCAUCGAGCAGGGGGAAAAGGAGCAAUCCGCUUUGAGAUGGCCUCGCGUCCGAUUAGCUAGUUGGUGGGGUAACGGCCCACCAAGGCGACGAUCGGUAGCCGGACUGAGAGGUUGAACGGCCACAUUGGGACUGAGACACGGCCCAGACUCCUACGGGAGGCAGCAGUGGGGAAUAUUGCACAAUGGGGGAAACCCUGAUGCAGCGACGCCGCGUGGAGGAAGAAGGUCUUCGGAUUGUAAACUCCUGUUGUUGGGGAAGAUAAUGACGGUACCCAACAAGGAAGUGACGGCUAACUACGUG
rnacentral:rRNA from 1 species